GGAAUAAAUAUUUUUAAGCUUUUAGAUUUCCUUAUUGUUGUGAACAACAGCGAGUUCUCACUAUAAAGGGCAUUUUGAGAAGAUGCCCAAGCACCAGCAUUUUGCAGAGAUGAGAGACCACACUCUCUGUUGUAAGGGCCCCAACCCUAUCUGGUGCUCUUCAAUUCACUAUUUAACCUUUUCUCUGUCAGUACUUGCUGCUUUUUCUUCAUCCUUUUCAUCUAAAUUUUGGCUCUCUUUUCGAUUUUGAGGUAGGGGCCUUCACUUUUAAUGAAUCGGUUAAUUCUAAUAUUUUAGUAAUAGUUUGUCUAAUUUUAUGAAUUCUUAAUUCUAAUCUAUUUAUUUAUCUCCAUCCUUCCAUUUAAAAUUGUAAUAUGAUAUUAGAGCAAGGAGUUUAUGAGAGUUGAGAGCAAGCUAACUAUUUUUAGCAAAUGAUGAAUCUAUGUUGUAGUAUAGACUCGUCUCUAAUUUAUUCAUUCACCUUCACUGUUCAAUUCAAAAGUGUACAUAUAGGUUUUUGUUGUAAGUGCCUUAUUUUUUUGUUGAAGUGCCUUCUUGUGUAUUGGAUCUUGUACUCCGAACAUAUAGCUUACUCUGCCUGAUUUGCUCGAAGAUGUCACGAUUGAGUGCAUUGGGCGGAUUCUGAUUAUUCAGCAAGUUGAUUUUUGUGAAUUCAUUUGGGUUAUUUUAGACAUUUGUUUCACUUUUUAUGUAAUCUUUAAUCAAUUUUGUUAAUGUAAAAAUCUUUUUAAUUUAUUUUAUU
rnacentral:misc_RNA from 1 species